CAAGGACAUACCAGAGAGAGAAGCAGGUGUCAAUACCACAGAAACUUGGCCUUGUGAUUUAUUUACAUAAUUUGACUCCUUCAUGCCCAUCUCAGAACAAACACAAUCUGCAUUCAGAACAGGACCGUUUACAAGUUGAAUGGAGUUAUUUUGGGUUACAUUUCAGGAUGAUCAAGUGCUGAUUCAUGCCCGCUUCUUUUAGAGCAACCCAGAACUAUGGAGAGACAUUCCUGGCCCAGCCACAUUCUUGUACUCAGACGACUUUCCCAAAGGGAGCUAUGUUCAUGAUCAAAAAGUAAGAAUUUUUACUUCUCAACCUAAAAUCUGGUCUUCCAAGCAAGCUUCAGCUGCCCAAUACAGGACCUGAAGUUUGAAAAUUUCACCUAAGAAGUAUUUAAAACUCAAUCUUGAAAAGAAACAACAUUCAGAAAGCUUUUCUAAAGGCUAAACAUUCAGCCACUACUGUGCUGAAUACUAUGUGAGUAUUUCAACAUUAGCCUUUACCCAUGAUUUAAAGUA